ACCUCCACCACCUCCUGGGGCCGGGCCUGGGCCAGCGCGGAACGGGGGAGGAAACGGAGCGUGGAGAAAAGGGGAAAGGAACGGGAGGGGGAGGGAGGGGAAAAAAAAAAAAAAAGAAAAAAAAAAAAAAAAGUGGGCCCCUCCCCCGGCGGAGGUGCGCUGCGUCAGCGCUCUGCGUUCUACGUCAUCGCAGCGCGCCGCCGUGCGCCGUUGGUAUGGCAACCGCGCAGCGAGGGGCUACAGCGCCCCCCGGCGGAGCGGAGGACGCGCGAGGAACACACCGCGGGCGGAGCCGUUGGGUGGGUCCGCCUAAAGGGGGGGGGGCGGGAUGGCUCCGCCCCCAUGCGAUGCCACGCCCCCAAGGGGGUGGGGCUUCCGCUGCCCGGGGUCACGCCCUGUGCGGUGCGCGGUCAGUGCAGCGUGGGGACACUGCGGGGACAUCGUGGGGACACCGCGGGGAUGCUACAGGGACCCUGCAGGGACAUCGUGGGCAGAUCACAGGGGCACCAUGGGGACAUCGUGGGGACACUAUGGGGGACAUCAUGGGGACACUAUGGAAACAUCAUGGGGAGACCAUGGGGAAACCAUAGGGACACCUUGGGGACACCAUGGGGACACCAUGGGGACACUAUGGGGGACAUCAUGGGAACACUAUGAGGGACACUGCACGGACAUCAUCAUGGGGACAUUGCGUGGACACCACGGGGACAUCAUGGAGACAUCAAGGAGCCCCCAUCUCCCCGGGUCCCACCUGUGGGUGUCCCCACCGGCCCUGGAGCGCUCCCCAGGAGUUCCCCAUGUCCGACCCCAUCCCCACGCCGGCCCCACGGCCCUGCCCCACCGCUGGCUCCACCUUAACCCCAGGGCCCGGCUGCGCGGUGCCACCGCGGUUAUCUCGGUUAUCUCGUUGGGAUCAGCCAAUAUUUGUGGUCAGGGCAGCGCUACCCCCCUCAGCCCCACGGCGGCCGCACUUCACCCGGAUCGCAUCGCGGCGAUGGCAGCGGUGGCGGCCUUCCUCCUCCUCCUCAUCCUCCUGCGGGUGGCAUCCCCCCACGGAGCCCCUCGGUGCCCCGGCUGCGGUCUCACGGCUCUGCCCCCCCCGGCGCAGCGCAGGGCGCUCCUGGCCAUGGCCCAGCACAGCAUCCUGGACCGGCUGCACCUGCCCGAGCGGCCCCGUGCCCCCCACCCCCCCUCUAAGGCAGCGCUGCUCAGUGCUCUGCGCCGGGUGCAACCGCAGCGCGCCCGCGGCACGGCCCCCCCCCCGCCCCACGGCACCGCGGGGCAGAACAUCGAGGUGGUGAGCUUCGCCGAGGCAGGUGGGUGCCAGAGGGAGCUGUGGUGGUGGUGCGGGGGGUCCCUGGAUGAGGAGGGAUCGCUGCGUGGGGGGGGGGGAUCCCUUUAUGGGGAGAUCCCCGCGGUGGGGGUCCCUGUGGGGGGAGGAGGUCACUGGGGCAGGGGGGAACGCAGUGGGUUUUGCAUUGCAUGGAGACACCCGUGCACGUGGGGCCGUGGGGGGUUCCCCGUUGUGGAGGGGUCCCAGCAGGGGGGGGUUUGCAUUGCAUGGACAUGGCCCCUGGGUGGCUGCCCCUCUCUGUAGGGUUGGUGGGGCCGUGGGGCUCCGGGCCCCCCAUUUUUCUGGGGGGGGGAGGCACAGCGCAGCAGAGCUGUGCCCCCAUUCCUCCCCAUAGCUCUGCAUUCCCUGGAGCAGGGAGACCCCCCAUGUGGCGCUCAGGGUCCCUAUGGGCAUCCCGUGAGGUCCCCACGCCCCCCAGGGCCAAUGAGCAGAGGAGCCCUAAGCCCCCCCCUCCCGCACAAAGCGACCCCCUCGUGCUGCCCCACUGCUGGGCGAGCUGUGGGGCAGCGCUCCCCAUUCAGCCCCUGGCUCUUUGCAUGGCUCGCUGCGUCCUCGAAGGGCUCUGGAAGUGACGCAUCCCCAUCGCGCCGUGCUCAGCGGGGCUGGGGGGGGGGGGGGG
ensembl:lncRNA